GCCUGCCGAAGAUGAUCCCAUUACGGCUCGCCUUUAGGUGUCCUCCUCAGGAUAGCGUCAUUUAAAGAACGACGGUCAGCACAAGGGAAAAAAAAUGGGGGGAGCCUGCCGAAGAAGAGGCCAUUACGGCUCGCCUUUAGAUGUCCUCCUCGGGAUAGCAUCAUUUAAAGAACGAGGGUCAGCACAAC